rnacentral:rRNA from 1 species
AGCGAACGCUGGCGGCAGGCUUAACGCAUGCAAGUCGAGCGGGCGUAGCAAUACGUCAGCGGCAGACGGGUGAGUAACGCGUGGGAACGUACCUUUUGGUUCGGAACAACACAGGGAAACUUGUGCUAAUACCGGAUAAGCCCUUACGGGGAAAGAUUUAUCGCCGAAAGAUCGGCCCGCGUCUGAUUAGCUAGUUGGUAGGGUAAUGGCCUACCAAGGCGACGAUCAGUAGCUGGUCUGAGAGGAUGAUCAGCCACAUUGGGACUGAGACACGUCCCAAACUCCUACGGGAGGCAGCAGUGGGGAAUAUUGGACAAUGGGGGCAACCCUGAUCCAGCCAUGCCGCGUGAGUGAUGAAGGCCCUAGGGUUGUAAAGCUCUUUUGUGCGGGAAGAUAAUGACGGUACCGCAAGAAUAAGCCCCGGCUAACUUCGUGCCAGCCGCCGCGGUAA